UAAUGUCAAGUCAGAUUGUAAUAUGGUUGGCUUCAUUCUGCUAGUUAUGUGUAACCCAUGUUAAUUUAUUGCAAGCUGAUAAUUCAGCAAAAAUGCCACAUUCUCUGCAUGUGGAUAUAGAUACCAUUCUUUGAAUAGGAUGUAAAAUAUCCUAUAUUAGGCAGUAGGUUAAGAGAUUGACACCAGCUGAGGAGAAGCUAUCACUUUCUAAGCAGAUCUUCUCAGUGGAAAUGCUAUUUUUCUUCUACUUUGAAUAAACCGGUCUCUGAGAUGAGUCAGUCCUUCUGAGAAGUACACAGAGCUGUAACUAACACUCUUCCCAAUGUCAGAAACCUACAAAGAAAUCUAUCAGCUAAAACUUAGAGAAGGAGAGGGACAGAGACUGGUUCUACAAAAGGCCCUUUGAAGACAGAAAAAUAUGAAAACAUUUGGGAGAAAAUAUUUGCAAACUGCAUUUUUAACGAAGGAUGAGCAUCUCAAAUAUAUAAGAAACCCUCAAAACUCAACAAGAAAAACAACCAACCAACCAAAACAAUCCAAACAGAAAGUGGGUGAACUAUGUGGGCUAACAUGUCACUGGAGAAGGUGCCCAGAUGGCAGAUGAGCACGCGAAGUGAUCUCCAACAUCAUCGGCCACUAAGGAAAUGCAAAUUAAGACCAUAAUGAGAUAUCACUGCCUACUUCUCAGAAUGGCCAAUUUUGUUGUUGUUAUUGUUGUUGUUAGUCCUAACACCGAGUGCUGCUGAGGCCGCUGGGAAAUGGAUUCACACAUGCACUGCUUGUGAGGGCGUAAAACGAUACAGGUGCUCCGGAAAUAGGUCUGGCAAUUUCUCAUAAAUCAAUAUAUGCAAAUAUCAUAUGCAUACAGGUCAUGUAUGACCCAGCAAUUACAUUUCUUGGCAUUUAUCCAAGAGAAAUAAAAACCCGUGUUCAUGCAAAAGCCAUUCUUAGCAUCUUGUUCCUAAAAGCCCCAAAUCAGAAAGACACCCAACAUCCUUCAACGAGACAAAGGAGGAACAACCCAGGGUACAGGGAAGCCAUGGGACACCACAUGGCAAGAAAAGGAGCAAACUUUACAUACAAACACUUGGGUGGAUGGCAAGGAAGUUGUGCUAGCGGCACACGCCGGUCACAAAUGGUUACACACUUCAUGGCUCCAUGAACAAGAUACCCUUAAAACAGCAAAGUGACAGGUGGAGAAUAGACGUGUGCUGUUCACAGGGAGUUCUGUACCGUGAUCACAGUUGCUCCAGGAACCCACAGACGUGAUACGACUGCACGGAGCUGCACACGCACGCGCGCACACACACACACGCGUGAACUGGUGAAAUCGAAUCAGUUCUGUGGACUGUCCCCAGUUCACUGGACCCACUGUGCUACUGCGUUCCAGACAGGGGAGAUGUUACCAUUCAGGACAACAGCGAAGGUACAAGCGCUCCUUGUAGACUUCAUUGCAAGUUCCUGGGAACCUAUAACUAUUUCAAAACAAACAGUCAAAAAGAGAGACUGGCAACAAGUAAAAUGUUACAAAGGCACUGUAGGGCACAUGACAGGUGUUCGAGGCUUUGGAGGAUCACCUGUAAUACGGGCAGGGCAUGAGUUCGCCGGAGCGAAUCUGAAUGUGCCCCUGUCUUCCCAACAGGCUUUCCCUGAAUCACUGAAGAAAAGUGGGUGUUUCUACUUCUCCAUCAAUCUAGACACAUGCGGUACCUAUGCUGCUUCUUGUAUUUUCCAUGUUACUGAACAUGCUAAUCGCCUUCCUUAAAAUUAACAUAAAUUAUCAGCAUAGUCAUUGCUUGGUCAACAUCAGUUCAUUUAUCUAAAUUUCUCAUUCAUCGAGGCAAAGUUACCAAGUCUGGGCAAAGUGAUUUCUCCCCAAAAACUGGAAGUCCAUUGCAAUGUUAGGAUUCCGCAAAAUGUCAUAUGCACUCAACGGACUUAAUCUGAAAAUAUUUUCAGUUUCCUCCUGGCACCUUCAAAAUGUGAUCUAAAUAAAAUGAUGGGGCUUCA